rnacentral:rRNA from 1 species
GAUGAACGCUGGCGGCGUGCUUAACACAUGCAAGUCGAACGAAGCAUUUAAGACAGAUUACUUCGGUUUGAAGUCUUUUAUGACUGAGUGGCGGACGGGUGAGUAACGCGUGGGUAACCUGCCUCAUACAGGGGGAUAGCAGCUGGAAACGGCUGGUAAUACCGCAUAAGCGCACAGUACCACAUGGUACAGUGUGAAAAACUCCGGUGGUAUGAGAUGGACCCGCGUCUGAUUAGCUUGUUGGCGGGGUAACGGCCCACCAAGGCGACGAUCAGUAGCCGACCUGAGAGGGUGACCGGCCACAUUGGGACUGAGACACGGCCCAGACUCCUACGGGAGGCAGCAGUGGGGAAUAUUGCACAAUGGAGGAAACUCUGAUGCAGCGACGCCGCGUGAGUGAAGAAGUAGCUCGCUAUGUAAAGCUCUAUCAGCAGGGAAGAUAGUGACGGUACCUGACGAAGAAGCUCCGGCUAAAUACGUG